rnacentral:rRNA from 1 species
UGGUGGAGUGAUUUGUCUGGUUGAUUCCGAUAACGAACGAGACCGCAGCCUGCUAAAUAGUGGGGCGAAUCGUUUUCCAGAUUCGCUCUUUCUCACUUCUUAGAGGGACGUUCCGUUCUCAGCGGAAGGAAGUUUGCGGCAAUAACA